rnacentral:misc_RNA from 1 species
AACGCACAUUGCGCCCAUUGGUAUUCCAUUGGGCAUGUCUGUUUGAGCGUCAUUACAACCCUCGGUCACCACCGGUUUUGAGCCAGCGCGGGUCCCCGACCCGGCUGGCUUUAAAGUUGUAAGCUCUGCCGGCCGCUCAGCCCGAUCAGAACAUAGUAAAACGCUACUUGUUCGCAGGUCGGGUCGAAAGCGGUACGGCCUGAACAAAACCUACCAAACUCUAAGGUUUGACCUCAGAUCAGACAAGGAUACCCGCUGAACUUAA